rnacentral:rRNA from 1 species
UACAGAGGUCUCAAGCGUUGUUCGGAUUCAUUGGGCGUAAAGGGUGCGUAGGCGGCGCGGUAAGUCGGGUGUGAAAUCUUGGAGCUUAACUCCGAAACUGCAUUCGAUACUGCCGUGCUUGAGGACUGGAGAGGAGACUGGAAUUCCUGGUGUAGCAGUGAAAUGCGUAGAUAUCAGGAGGAAUACCGAUGGCGAAGGCAGGUCUCUGGGCUGACACUGACGCUCAUGCACGAAAGCGUGGGGGAGCAAACAGG